AGAACGAACGCUGGCGGCAUGCCUAAUACAUGCAAGUCGAACGAGAUCUUCGGGUCUAGUGGCGCACGGGUGCGUAACGCGUGGGAAUCUACCCUUGGGUUCGGAAUAACAGUUGGAAACGACUGCUAAUACCGGAUGAUGACGAAAGUCCAAAGAUUUAUCGCCCAGGGAUGAGCCCGCGUAGGAUUAGCUAGUUGGUGAGGUAAGGCUCACCAAGGCUACGAUCCUUAGCUGGUCUGAGAGGAUGAUCAGCCACACGUGGGACUGAGACACCGGCCCAGACCUCCGUACGGGGAGGCG
rnacentral:rRNA from 1 species